AUUGAACUCUGGCGGCAGGCCUAACACAUGCAAGUCUGGCGAGCGGCGGACGGGUGAGUAAUGUAUGGGGAUCUGCCUCAUGGAGGGGGAUAACUACUUGAAACGGUAGCUAAUACCGCAUACCAUCAGAUGAACCCAUAUGGGAUUAGCUUGUAGGUGAGGUAACGGCUCACCUAGGCGACGAUCCCUAGCUGGUCUGAGAGGAUGAUCAGACACACUUGGACGGAGACACGGCCCAGACUCCAACGGGAGGAAGCAGUGGGGAAUAUUGCAAAAUGGGCGCAAGCAUGAUGCAGCCAUGCGGCGGGUAGGAAGAAGUCCUUCGGGUUUUAAAGUACUUUUAGUAGGGAGGAGUUACCGAAAGAAGAAGCACAGGCUAACUACGUGCCAGCAGCCGAGGUAAUUC
rnacentral:rRNA from 1 species